CACCGCAGCAAACUUGUGGGAGGUGCUUGGGAAGCCCACCGACUAACCUUUCCUUUUAGACUGACAAUCACUCUGCAAGGUCUUAAGUCCAGAUAUUUUCAUUUUUGUUUUGUAGAUUAGAAUACAACAUUUUCAGAAAAUCUGAAGAAGAUCAAGGAAAAUAAAGAUUGACACAAACCGUAAAAGGAAGCGUGAUUCUGGUUUUCAGUUCUUCGAAAUCCCUUCCUGCUGCUGCCUGCUAUCAAGAGGCCCAUCUUUGCAUCCUCCCACAAGUGCUGUGGAAAGGAACCACCUGAGUGUGUAACUUCCGAGCAGGGGAGGGCCUGAGCUUGUGAUUUUCUGAGGAUUAAUUUGUUGGUCAAUAAAAUAAAAGGUAC
rnacentral:lncRNA from 1 species